rnacentral:rRNA from 1 species
CUACGGGGUGCAGCAGUGAGGAAUAUUGCACAAUGGGGGCAACCCUGAUGCAGCAACGCCGCGUGGAGGAUGACGCAUUUCGGUGUGUAAACUCCUUUUAUCAGAGAAGAACCAUGACGGUAUCUGAUGAAUAAGCUCCGGCUAACUCCGUGCCAGCAGCCGCGGUAUACGGAGGGAGCAAGCGUUAUUCGGAAUCACUGGGCGUAAAGGACGCGUAGGCCGGUCUGUAAGUCAGGUGUGAAAUGCAAUGGCUCAACCAUUGAACUGCACUUGAAACUGCGGACCUAGAGUAUGGAAGGGGCAGAUGGAAUUAGUGGUGUAGGGGUAAAAUCCGUAGAUAUCACUAGGAAUACCGAAAGCGAAGGCGAUCUGCUGGGACAUAACUGACGCUAAGGCGUGAAAGCGUGGGGAGCAAACAGGAUUAGAUACCCCCGUAGUC